ACGAACGCUGGCGGCGUGCUUCACCCCUGCAAGUCGAGCGGAAAGGCCCUUCGGGGUACUCGAGCGGCGAACGGGUGAGUAACACGUGAGUAACCUGCCCCAGACUUUGGGAUAACCCUCGGAAACGGGGGCUAAUACCGGAUACGACACAGCUUCGCAUGGGGUCUGUGUGGAAAGUUUUUCGGUUUGGGAUGGGCUCGCGGCCUAUCAGCUUGUUGGUGGGGUGAUGGCCUACCAAGGCGACGACGGGUAGCCGGCCUGAGAGGGCGACCGGCCACACUGGGACUGAGACACGGCCCAGACUCCUACGGGAGGCAGCAGUGGGGAAUAUUGCACAAUGGGCGGAAGCCUGAUGCAGCGACGCCGCGUGAGGGAUGACGGCCUUCGGGUUGUAAACCUCUUUCAGCAGGGACGAAGCGUAAGUGACGGUACCUGCAGAAGAAGCGCCGGCCAACUACGUG
rnacentral:rRNA from 1 species